rnacentral:tRNA from 349 species
GGAGGGAUGCCCGAGUGGUUAAAGGGGACGGACUGUAAAUCCGUUGGCUAUGCCUACGUUGGUUCAAAUCCAACUCCCUCCACCA